GGCUCAUUGGUCGAGGGGAAGGAUCCUCGCCUCGGGUGCGAGUGGUCCCGGGUUCAAAUCCCGGACGAGCCC
rfam:Takifugu rubripes chromosome, Chr_21